rnacentral:rRNA from 1 species
ACAGCAGUAGCCGCGGGAAUACGGAGGGUGCAAGCGUUAAUCGGAAUUACUGGGCGUAAAGAGUGCGUAGGUGGUUAGAUAAGUUAUGUGUGAAAUCCCUGGGCUUAACCUGGGCAGGUCAUAUAAUACUGUUUGACUCGAGUAUGGGAGAGGGUAGUGGAAUUUCCGGUGUAGCGGUGAAAUGCGUAGAGAUCGGAAGGAACACCAGUGGCGAAGGCGGCUACCUGGCCUAAUACUGACACUGAGGCACGAAAGCGUGGGGAGCAAACAGGAUUAGAUACCCGUGUAGUCCCUGUCUCUUAUAC